rnacentral:lncRNA from 1 species
GAAACAUGCCUUGGGAGAUUGAGAGUCAUAUGAAGGAUUCAUAUCCGAAUCCGUUUACUUAAGGUAAUUUUCGAGGGCGAAAAUUCUUUAAGUGGGGAGAGUUGUAACACCCCAGUUUUUAGUAAAUUAUUUUAAUUUAAUUAUACUUUUGUGUAUUUAUUUGUGUAUUUAUUUGAUUAUUGUAUGUGGGUGAAUAAAUGAAUGUGAGUGAAAGAGAGGGUAAAUGACCUUGUAGUUGGAUGUGGAGAG